rnacentral:rRNA from 1 species
UUGAACUGAAGAGUUUGAUCCUGGCUCAGAUUGAACGCUGGCGGCAUGCUUUACACAUGCAAGUCGGACGGCAGCGGGGGCUUCGGCCUGCCGGCGAGUGGCGAACGGGUGAGUAAAGCGUCGGAACGUACCGAGUAAUGGG